rnacentral:rRNA from 1 species
UACGAAGGGGACUAGCGUUGUUCGGAUUUACUGGGCGUAAAGCGCGCGUAGGCGGACCUGCAAGUCGGGGGUGAAAGCCCGAGGCUCAACCUCGGAACUGCCUUCGAUACUGCGGGUCUCGAGUCCGGGAGAGGUGAGUGGAAUUCCUAGUGUAGAGGUGAAAUUCGUAGAUAUUAGGAAGAACACCAGUGGCGAAGGCGGCUCACUGGCCCGGUACUGACGCUGAGGCGCGAAAGCGUGGGGAGCAAACAGG